GGAGUCUGGGCCGUGUCUCAGUCCCAAUGUGGCCGGUCGCCCUCUCAGGCCGGCUACUGAUCGUCGCCUUGGUGGGCCGUUACCUCACCAACUAGCUAAUCAGACGCGGACCCAUCCUUUGCCGUCUCGGCUUUUCACACUCUACCAUGCGGUAGUGUGCGCUUAUGCGGUAUUAGCAGUCAUUUCUAACUGUUAUCCCCCUGCAAAGGGCAGGUUAUCCACGCGUUACUCACCCGUCCGCCACUAAGUCAUCUCUUGAAUCAUUCCGAAAAAAUCAACAAGAGAGCUUCGUUCGACUUGCAUGUGUUAGGCACGCCGCCAGCGUUCAUC
rnacentral:rRNA from 1 species